rnacentral:rRNA from 1 species
AUUGAACGCUGGCGGCAGGCCUAACACAUGCAAGUCGAGCGGAUGAAGGGAGCUUGCUCCUGGAUUCAGCGGCGGACGGGUGAGUAAUGCCUAGGAAUCUGCCUGGUAGUGGGGGAUAACGUCCGGAAACGGGCGCUAAUACCGCAUACGUCCUGAGGGAGAAAGUGGGGGAUCUUCGGACCUCACGCUAUCAGAUGAGCCUAGGUCGGAUUAGCUAGUUGGUGGGGUAAAGGCCUACCAAGGCGACGAUCCGUAACUGGUCUGAGAGGAUGAUCAGUCACCUUGGAACUGAGACACGGCCCAGACUCAUGCGGGAGGAAGCGGGGGGAAAUAUUGGACAAGGGGCGAAAGCCUGACCCAGCCAUCCGGGGUGUGUAAAGAAGGUCUUCGGAUUUAAAAGCAUUUUAAGUUGGGAGGAAGGGCAGUAAGUUAAUACCUUGCUUUUUGGACGUUACCAACAAAAUAAGCCCCGGCUAACUUCGUC